UUAUCUGGCUCUUCGAUGUUCCCGGAUCCGGGUGUUCAACAGCUCGUUGUCAAUUCCCCCUCUCUCGUCAUCCAGCUCGCCUCUCGUAGUGGCCUCAAAUUCCUGUUAAUUAUUCCAAUUAUUAUUCCAAUUUCCAAUUGAUUAACCGAAAAUUAUUUUUUUGUUUAAUUAAAAAAAAAAUCUGUUCACAUUCAUGCAACCCUGCCCACCCCCCCUCAAUUUCAGUGCAAAUUAUUCAAAAUGGUGGCCGUCUGACAUGUUGAUUGUGAUUGCUGUGGACUGUGGUAUGCUGGUGUGAUUGUGAUAAAAUUCUCAUUCUGAGCUGGCUUAAACUGCUGUCCAUUUUGCCAAACAGUCGUCAGUUGUUACCUGUACCGCUUUACGUCUCAUCCCAUGUAGAAACACGUCAGAGCAGUUUUAACCGGUUGGUGAAAGGUGUAGUAAAGUCAGGUUGAGCUGCUACAUGCAAGUGCUGGUGUUAUCCUGACCCGUGUAGAAGUGUAACCUAACUGCAUGAAGUUUCUUGAAAUAGACCACUGGCAAGGAGAUAUUUCAACUGUACGAUGCUGCUCAAUAUGCAGUUGUUUUGUACCCGUUUCCAGUUCAUUUCCAGUUCAAGCUGUUGCUUGCUGUCUGUGGUGCUGCUGUUAUCCUGGAAUGUGUUGAUUGUCAACACCUUUGUGUGUACUGUGUGGUAAUGCCUAUGUCAAUGCCAUUGUGAAGUAAGAUGAUUUGACGCAAUUGAAGAAGUUUUUGAAGUAGAUGUAGACAAGUGCAUAAGUGCAGUUUAGUGUUCCCUAUAUUUUGGCCGUGAUUUUAGUUAGCUUUUAUUCUACUGUGUCAAUCCAUCUUGCUGCCCACCGUCCCGGCUCCAACUUUAAUUUUUUUGCCGCCAGAGGUCCUGUCACCAGGGCUGCGCCUCACAAGUCACAACUGUUUGCCACGCAAAUUACUACUCCGCUGCCUCGCUAAUCAUCUCAGAGCCCCAACUACUACACCAGAGCUCCGACGUCCUCAUCUGGUUUCUGAUUAUAACUUCGCCGCCGCCCUCACCUCCGCUGAGCUGAGAGGAUUGACUUGCCAAUUGCUGCAUCACUUCGUCGACUACUUCCUCACCGCGCUGACCACCAAAGCGCCUCGCUGACUACUCCUUCGCCUUUGCGUGAAUUAUUACACUGCCGUGCCAACACCAAUCUGCUGCACCAAUUUUAGCUUUGUGGGCGCCGAACACUGGUUUACACCGUCGCUGGUCAUUACUACAUUGCUGCCUACAACCACACCGCAGCUCUGGCUGCUACUACUCCUCGGCUACGACUACUACUUCAUCUCCACUCUGACCGGUACCUCACCGCUGCUCCAGCUGAUACUUCACCGCUACUCCGACUGAUACUACACCGGUGCUCCGACUGUGACUUCACUGCUGCUCCGGCUGAUACUACUCCACUGCACUGUCUGCUACUACUACGCUGCUCCGACUGCUACUGCACACGCUCUCAGACAUUGAGCGGCAUAAAAUAGUCAUCAUCUCUUGGCUGAUUCCAUCUUCUGGAUAGCCUAGAUCAGUGCUACCAUAUGUAAGUAUCCUGCAAUGUGUUCAUCAUAUUCAUAAUUUUUGUUGGAUAAGUUAUGCACCAUGCUCCAUAUCACAACGCAUUCC